rnacentral:lncRNA from 1 species
UAGUGACAUCACACAUGUUUGUUCAGAUGUGAUCAAACUAUAAGCCUAAUAAGUUAUGCCUUUGAAUAUCCUGCAAAUGUAUAACAGGAAACAGGCACAUCAAAAUACUUUAUGCUGUUUAUUUCAGUGAACACUUUUCUGACCUGUCUUUCCUCUGCAGGGUGAAGCAGGUCCGACAGGAGCAAGAGGAGCACCUGGUCCUAAAGGUACAAAGGUAAGUGUUAGAAAAUCAGGAGCAUUAGUGUUUGUUCUUAUUCAAACUGGUUGUUUUAUAGACAGUUCUUCACUCUGUUGCAGGGAGACAGAGGCGAGCCAGGCUUAGCAGGAGAACCAGGUCUCCCAGGACCUAAGGGUCUCCCUGGUGAGAGAGGAGAGCCAGGACCUCCAGGAGAAGCUGGGCCGAUGGGGGAGCCUGGACCUCCAGGCCGUGUCGGACUGGUUGGCGCGCUGGGACCAAAGGUCAGUGCAGACUGUAGUUUCUGAGAGAUCAAGUCCGGUUCACGUUGCAAACAUUGCACUCUGUGAUUGUUGAACAUCUGGUGCCAACACUAUAGAGAAUAUUUCUGUUACAAUUAACAUGCGUGCUGCUGUUAACAGCUACCAGUGCUCUGUUUCUGUAAGAUGUGUGAACAGUUUGAUUUGACCACAGUGGCAUUUGUGGUCCACACUGAUAUGGAGCGAUAGCAUCUGUCUGCAGCUUCAUCACAAAAGUGUUGGGAAGCAUCACGCUCUGCAUACAGGACAGUUUGUUUGGCAAAGCAGUGGUUUUGUAGAACGAGCCUUCUUUAAGCUGAUGUUACAAAGCUGGACGCACACUUUUGUCUUUAUGGAUAUUCAUACUGAAACUGAAGGCAAUGUAUGCCAGCAAGUGGCUGCCAUUUAUUUUAUGUGACAGUUCAGACGCUGAUAACAGAACUGAGCAGGACAUUAAAUGUUAAAAACAUUUCCGCCCUCUGUGUAAGCUGCCC